rnacentral:misc_RNA from 1 species
ACAAACUUGGUCAUUUAGAGGAAGUAAAAGUCGUAACAAGGUCUCCGUUGGUGAACCAGCGGAGGGAUCAUUAUCGAGUGUAAAAACUCCCAAACCCUUUGUGAACCUUACCAAAACGUUGCUUCGGCGGCACGCUCCGGAGGGGGGCUCUCCGCUCCCCCCCGGGCCCCAGCUGCCGCCGAGGGCACCCAAACUCUUGUUUCCACAGCGAGUAUUUCUUCUGAGUGGCACAAGCAAAAAAUGAAUCAAAACUUUCAACAACGGAUCUCUUGGUUCUGGCAUCGAUGAAGAACGCAGC